rnacentral:rRNA from 1 species
GCUUGUCUCAAAGAUUAAGCCAUGCACGUGUAAGUAUAAAAUAACCUAUACUAUUGAAACUGCGAAUGGCUCAUUAUAUCAGUUAUAGUUUACAUGAUAAUAAUUUUCUACUUGGAUACCCGUAGUAAUUCUAGAGCUAAUACAUGCAUAAAGUCCCGACUUCUGGAAGGGAUGUAUUUAUUAGACUUAAGCCAAUAUUCCUUGUGUCUAUUGCGAUGAUUCAUAAUAACUGAUCGAAUCUCAAAUUUGAGAUAAAUCAUUCAAGUUUCUGCCCUAUCAGCUUUCGAUGGUAGUGUAUUGGACUACCAUGGCAGUAACGGGUAACGAAGAAUUAGGGUUCGAUUUCGGAGAGGGAGCAUGAGAAACGGCUACCACAUCUAAGGAAGGCAGCAGG